rnacentral:rRNA from 1 species
AGAGUUUGAUCAUGGCUCAGGAUGAACGCUAGCGGGAGGCUUAAUACAUGCAAGUUGAGCGGUAAGUUGUUUAUAGCAAUAUAGAUGACCUAGAGCGGCGCACGGGUGAGUAACGCGUACAUAACCUACCCUAUACAGGGGGAUAGCCUUGGGAAACUGAGAUUAAUACCCCAUGGUAUUAUUUUCCCGCAUGGGAAGAUAAUUAAAGUUGAGGCGGUAUAGGAUGGGUGUGCGUCUGAUCAGCCAGUUGGUGAGGUAACGGCUCACCAAAGCGAUGAUCAGUAGGGGGCGUGAGAGCGUGGACCCCCACACGGGUACUGAGACGCGGACCCGACUCCUACGGGAGGCAGCAGUAAGGAAUAUUGGUCAAUGGAGGCAACUCUGAACCAGCCAUCCCGCGUGAAGGAUGAAGGGGCUAUGCCUUGUAAACUUCUUUUGUCUGGGACGAAAAAGCCCCGUUUACGGGGAACUGACGGUACCAGAAGAAUAAGCACCGGCUAACUCCGUGCCAGCAGCCGCGGUAAUACGGAGGGUGCAAGCGUUAUCCGGAAUCACUGGGUUUAAAGGGUGCGUAGGCGGCUUAGUAAGUCAGUGGUGAAAGGCUGUGGCUUAACCAUGGGAUUGCCAUUGAUACUGCUGAGCUUGAAUGAGGUUGAGGUUAGCGGAAUGUGACAUGUAGCGGUGAAAUGCUUAGAUAUGUCAUGGAACACCAAUUGCGAAGGCAGCUAACUGGACCUUAAUUGACGCUGAGGCACGAAAGCGUGGGUAGCGAACAGGAUUAGAUACCCUGGUAGU